UCUACAAAUUACAGGACAACUGUUAACACAUAGUAGGAUACUCAUUACUUUGUGUGACAGGUUUCCCCAAUGUCAUUGGUGCAGUGGACUGCACACACAUAAGGAUAAAAGCCCCUCAGGUGCCCAAGAGGCCGAUUUUGUGAAUAGGAAAUCCUUUCACAGCAUUAAUGUUCAGAUGGUCUGCAAUGCUGACUGUGAUCAGCAAUGUUGUGGCAAAAUGGCCUGGCUCAGUCCAUGACUCCAGAAUCUUUCGGGCCUCUGAAAUCUAUCAGUGCCUAUCACAAGGGAGACAGGGGGUAUGGCUGCCAGCCUUUUCUCCUGACACCUUUCACAGACCCCCAGGAAGCACAGCAGGCCUACAACCAUGCCCAUGCCAGGGCCAGAGUUGAAAUGACCUUUGGCCUCCUGAAGGCACGCUUUCACUGCCUUCACAAAUUAAGGGUCAGCCCUGUUAGGGCAUGUGAUUAUUACUGUGGCUUGUGCUGUCCUCCACAAUGUGGCCUGCCUGAGGAAGGAGAGGGCCCCCAGAGUGCCACCAGCCAUGGACUGGGACAAUCCGGCAAUCUUCCCUGAUGACGACAGUGGUCGGCUGCUGAGGGACCAAUAUGUGUUGAAUUAUUUUAGUUAGUAUGUGUGCUUUCAAUUUUGGUUAAAUAUGUCCUGCGGUGGCAGAGGAAUUUGGGUUUUUUUGGGUUCGUUUUUUGACGAAUUUGGCCUCUUAUGAUGUUUGUGCGGUAUACUGUGUGUAAUACAAGGC